CCUACGGGAGGCAGCAGUGGGGAAUUUUGGACAAUGGGCGAAAGCCUGAUCCAGCAAUGCCGCGUGAGUGAAGAAGGCCUUCGGGUUGUAAAGCUCUUUCAGUUGAGAAGAAAAAAACGUGAAUAAUACUCACGUUUCGUGACGGUAUCAACAGAAGAAGCACCGGCUAACUACGUGCCAGCAGCCGCGGUAAUACGUAGGGUGCGAGCGUUAAUCGGAAUUACUGGGCGUAAAGGGUGCGCAGGCGGUUCUGAAAGUCAGAUGUGAAAUCCCUGGGCUUAACCUAGGAAUUGCGUUUGAAACUACAGGACUAGAGUGUGGCAGAGGGGGGUGGAAUUCCAUGUGUAGCAGUGAAAUGCGUAGAGAUAUGGAAGAACAUCGAUGGCGAAGGCAACCCCCUGGGUUAACACUGACGCUCAGGCACGAAAGCGUGGGGAGCAAACAGGAUUAGAUACCCUGGUAGUCCACGCCCUAAACUAUGUCAAUUAGUUGUCGGAUCUUAAUAGAUUUGGUAACGUAGCUAACGCGUGAAGUUGACCGCCUGGGGAGUACGGUCGCAAGAUUAAAACUCAAAUGAAUUGACGG
rnacentral:rRNA from 1 species